rnacentral:lncRNA from 1 species
UUGAUUUUGAAUCCAGCAGACUAAAGAAAUCUUGUAUCUUACAGGAAGAAAAUUUGUGGUUAUAGGAACUUGGUGUUAUGGAAAUAGUACUGGGACAGGAGAGUGCCACCAUGCCCUGGGAGGGCCUCUUCAAGUGGGCAUCCAUCCUGCCAGGAGCCAGAUACACCUCUUCAGGAAAAGGAGAAGUGAUCGGGAUGAUGGUGCUUCACACCCCAGAGGGAGUUUCGCUUCACAGAUAAGCGCCCUGAGUCAUGAGCUGAAUACGUGCCAGAAGGUUUCAAUGGCAGAAGUAAAUCCUAUCAAAGUUUGCUGUUGUGGUUGGACUGCUGACUCAAAGCGCUCGCUACGUGAGCUACCAGGGAGAGAUGGGGCUGGCAGUAAGUCACGCAGUGGCUCAUGUGGAAAUUGGGAGGCAGAAAUUGUUCUGCACAUGAACAAGAAACAAUCUGGAACCUGAACAGUUGAGAAUAAAGUUGAGACAAGCUGGUCUGAAGACA